rnacentral:tRNA from 1 species
GGUUCAUUAGUGUAGUGGUUAUCACUCUGGAUUUUGACUAGAUGAUCACUUUCCAGCAACCCCGGUUCGAACCCGGGAUGGACCU